GCUACCGCUAUUGGAGUUCGAUUAAGCCAUGCGAGUCUAGAGGCCUAGCCUCGGCGUACCGCUCAGUAACACGUGGGUAACCUACCCUAUGCUGGGGGAUAAGCUCGGGAAACUGAGAAUAAUACCCCAUAGUCCACUACGCCUGGAACGGUGAGUGGAUCAAAGCUCCGGCGGCAUAGGAUGGGCCUGCGGCGUAUCAGGUUGUAGGGGGUGUAACGUACCCUCUAGCCAUCCACGCGUACGGGUGUUGGGAGACAUUGCCCGGAGAUGGAUUCUGAGACACGAAUCCAGACCCUACGGGGUGCAGCAGGCGCGAAAACUUGGCAAUGCGAGAAAUCGUGACCAGGGAACUCCAAGUGGCAGGGGUAAGACCCUGUCUUUUUCCGACUCUAAAUAGGUCGGCGAAUAAGGGGUGGGUAAGGACGGUGCCAGCCGCCGCGGUAAUACCGGCGCCUCAAGUGGUAGUCGCUUUUAUUGGGCCUAAAACGUCCGUAGCCGGUCUGGUACAUUCGUGGGUAAAUCAACUCGCUCAACGAGUUGAAUUCUGCGAGGACGGCCAGACUUGGGACCGGGAGAGGUGUGGGGUACUCUCAGGGUAGGGGUAAAAUCCUGUCAUCCUGAGAGGACCCUCCUGUUGCGAAGGCUCCACACUAGAACGGAUCCCACGGUCAGGGACGAAGCCUAGGGGCACGAACCGGAUUAGAUACCCGGGUAGUCCUAGGUGUAAACGCUGUGGGACUUG
rnacentral:rRNA from 1 species